rnacentral:rRNA from 1 species
GAUGAACGCUGGCGGCAUGCCUAAUACAUGCAAGUCGAGCGAACGGACGAGGCUCGUUCUUCUCUGAUGUUGGCGGCGGGCGGGUGAUUAACACGUGUAUAACCUGCCUAUAGGGCUGGCGUAACUUCGCGAAACCUGAUCUAGCACCGGUUGUGAGUUUGAACGUCAUGGUUCAUAAGUGAACGCCGUUCUUGCUGUCACUUGUAGAUGUAUCCGCGCUGCAUUAGCUAGUUGGUAAGGUAACGGCUUACCAAGGCAACGAUGCAUAGCCGACCUGAGAGGGUGAUCAGCCACACUGGAACUGAGACACGGUCCAGACUCCUACGGGAGGCAGCAGUAGGGAAUAUUCCACAAUGGGCGAAAGCCUGAUGGAGCCAUGCCGCGUGAGUGAAGAAGGUCUUCGGAUCGUAAAACUCUGUUAGUAGGGAAGAACAGAUGUGUAAGAAAAUGUGCCUAUCUUGACGGUACCUACAGAGUAAGCACCGGCUAACUACGUG